AAUCAACGCUGGCGGCGUGCCUCAGACAUGCAAGUCGAACGAUUAAAGCUCUCUUCGGAGAGUGCAUAAAGUGGCGCACGGGUGAGUAACACGUAAGUAAUCUACCUUCGAGUGGGAAUAACGUCCGGAAACGGACGCUAAUACCGCAUAACGCAGCGGCAUCGCAAGAUGACAGUUGUUAAAGAUUUAUCGCUUGAAGAGGAGCUUGCGGCAGAUUAGCUUGUUGGUAAGGUAACGGCUUACCAAGGCUACGAUCUGUAUCCGGUCUAAGAGGACGGUCGGACACACUGACACUGAAUAACGGGUCAGACUCCUA
rnacentral:rRNA from 1 species